AUUGAACGCUGGCGGCAGGCCUAACACAUGCAAGUCGAGCGAGCGGCGGACGGGUGAGUAAUGUAUGGGGACUGCCCGAUAGAGGGGGAUAACUACUGGAAACGGUGGCUAAUACCGCAUACUAUCGGAUAACCCAUAUGGGAUUAGCUAGUAGGUGGGGUAAAGGCUCACCUAGGCGACGAUCUCUAGCUGGUAUGAGAGGAUGAUCUGCCACACUGGGACGGCGACACGGCCCAGACUACGACGGAGGCAGCAGUUGGGAAUAUUGCACAAUGGGCGCAAGACUGAUGCAGCCAUGCCGCGUGUAUGAAUAAGGCCUUAGGGUUGUUAAACUCUUUCGCUAUCGAACGGGUAGGUGGAGAAGAAGCGCCGGCUAACUCCGUGCCAGCAGCCGCGGUAAUAC
rnacentral:rRNA from 1 species